UAGGGAAUAUUAGUAAUGGGCGAAAGCCUGAACUAGCGACACCGCGUGUGCGAAGAAGGCCUUCGGGUUGUAAAGCACUUUUAGAGAGGAUGAGGAAGGACGGUACUCUCUGAAUAAGUCUCGGCUAACUACGUGCCAGCAGCCGCGGUAACACGUAGGAGGCAAACGUUAUCCGGAUUUACUGGGCGUAAAGCGCGUGUAGGUGGUUCUGUAAGUAGGGCGUGAAAGCUCCCGGCUCAACUGGGAGAGGCCGUUCUAAACUGCAGAGCUAGAGGAUGGUAGAGGGAGGUGGAAUUCCGGGUGUAGCGGUGGAAUGCGCAGAUAUCCGGAGGAACACCAGUGGCGAAGGCGACCUCCUGGGCCACUCCUGACACUCAGACGCGAAAGCUAGGGUAGCAAACGG
rnacentral:rRNA from 1 species